AGAACGAACGCUGGCGGCAUGCCUAACACAUGCAAGUCGGACGCUUUCGGGGGUUUCGGCCUCCGAGGGAGUGGCGGACGGGUGAGUAGCGCGUGGGAACCUGCCCCUUUGUGGGGGAUAACCGAGGGAAACUUCGGCUAAUACCGCAUGCGCCCGGGGGUAACUCCGGGGAAAGAUUUAUCGCAGAGGGAGGGGCCCGCGUCGGAUUAGGUAGUUGGUGAGGUAACGGCUCACCAAGGCUAUGAUCGUUAGCUGGUCUGAGAGGAUGGCCAGCCACACUGGAACUGAGACACGGUCCAGACUCCUACGGGAGGCAGCAGUGGGGAAUCUUGCACAAUGGGCGAAAGCCUGAUGCAGCGACGCCGCGUGGGGAUGAAGCUUCUCGGAGUGUAAACCCCUUUCGACCCGGACGAAUCGCCCGCAAGGGGACUGGACGGUACGGGUAUAAGAAGCCCCGGCUAACUACGUGCCAGCAGCCGC
rnacentral:rRNA from 1 species